rnacentral:rRNA from 1 species
UACGUAGGGGGCUAGCGUUGUCCGGAAUCAUUGGGCGUAAAGCGCGUGUAGGCGGCCCGGUAAGUCCGCUGUGAAAGUCCAGGGCUCAACCCUGGAAAGCCGGUGGAUACUGUCAGACUAGAGUACGGGAGAGGCGAGUGGAAUUCCUGGUGUAGCGGUGAAAUGCGUAGAUAUCUGGAGGAAUACCGGUGGCGAAGGCGGCAUCCUGGACCGAGAUUGACGCUGAUGAGCGAAAGCUAGGGGAGCAAACGGG